UUGUCUCUCCUCCGCCGCUAAGCUUCUUCCUUGUCUAUAUUCUUAAUUUAUAGUUGUUUCGUGGGUAGGGCAAUUUCAACCCAACAAAUAAAGUUUGGUAUUCUUUUGUUUAUUUCAUUUGAACCCUAAUUGGUGCCGCCGUAAACCUUCAUUUCUACUCCGCCGCAAAGCUAGACUUCCUUGUCUUUGUUCUUAAUUUAUAGGUGUUUCAUGGGUAGGGCGAUUUCAAUACUCAAUGAGCCUUAAUCGGCGGUUCGCUUCGGUGCCGGUCCACCAUUCAUACCUCUAAUCCAAAGCUCCCAACACAAAGUUUAGCUUUCCAGAAGCAGCCCCUUUUACAGCCAUCUUGAAAUUCAGAGUCCCUCCCCAAAAUCAUCAAUGGCCUAGCGGGGCUGCUCGGCUGCAUUAAAUUAAUUUUGGUGUCUGCAAUCUUGGCGCCUCUUUGCUUUGUGCUAUUUUCAGGCCUAAUAGUCUUGCGCAUUUCCUUGAAAAUCCUCAGAAAUUAUCUCAAUAGGAGAGAUGACUACGACUGGUAUGAGAAAUUUUAAGG